UGCCGUUGUUGUUGUUGAUGAUAUUGUCGUUGCUGCCGUUGAUGAUAUUGUCGUUGCUGCCGUUGUUGUUGUUGAUGAUAUUGUCGUUGUUGUUGUUGUUGAUGAUAUUGUCGUUGUUGUUGUUGUUGUUGAUGAUAUUGUCGUUGUUGUUGUUGAUGAUAUUGUCGUUGUUGUUGUUGAUGAUAUUGUCGUUGUUGUUGUUGAUGAUAUUGUCGUUGUUGUUGUCGUUGUUGUUGUUGAUGAUAUUGUCGUCGUCGUCGUCGGACGUCGUCGGACGUCGUCGUCGUUGUUAUCGUACGUUGUUGUUGUUAUCGUACGUUGUUGUCGAUGGCCUUGUUUAUGUCGUCGUUCUUGUUGUUGUCGUUUCGUUGUUGCUAUUGUUGUUGUUGUUGUUGUUGUUGUUG